GGAUGCGAUCAUACCAGCACUAAUGCACCGGAUCCCAUCAGAACUCCGAAGUUAAGCGUGCUUGGGCGAGAGUAGUACUAGGAUGGUGACCCCCUGGGAAGUCCUCGUGUUGCAUCCC
rnacentral:rRNA from 1 species